GAUGAACGCUGGCGGCGUGCCUAAUACAUGCAAGUCGAGCGAAUGGAUUAAGAGCUUGCUCUUAUGAAGUUAGCGGCGGACGGGUGAGUAACACGUGGGUAACCUGCCCAUAAGACUGGGAUAACUCCGGGAAACCGGGGCUAAUACCGGAUAACAUUUUGAACCGCAUGGUUCGAAAUUGAAAGGCGGCUUCGGCUGUCACUUAUGGAUGGACCCGCGUCGGAUUAGCUAGUUGGUGAGGUAACGGCUCACCAAGGCAGCGAUGCGGAGCCGGCGUGAUAGGGUGAUCAGCCGCACUGAGACUGAGACACGGCACAGACUCCUACGGGAGGCAGCAGUAGGGAAUCUUCCGCAAUGGGCGAAAGUCUGACGGCGCAACGCCGCGUGAGUGAUGAAGGCUUUCGGGUCGUAAAACUCUGUUGUUAGGGAAGAACAAGUGCUAGUUGAAUAAGCUGGCACCUUGACGGUACCUAACCAGAAAGCCACGGCUAACUACGUGCCAGCCGCCGCAGUAA
rnacentral:rRNA from 1 species